UACAGAGGUCUCAAGCGUUGUUCGGAUUUACUGGGCGUAAAGGGUGCGUAGGCGGCUUUUUAAGUUUGGUGUGAAAUCUCCCGGCUCAACUGGGAGGGUGCGCCGAAUACUGAGAGGCUAGAGUGUGGGAGAGGAAAGUGGAAUUCCUGGUGUAGCGGUGAAAUGCGUAGAUAUCAGGAGGAACACCGGUGGUGUAAACGGCUUUCUGGACCAUAACUGACGCUGAGGCACGAAAGCGAGGGUAGCAAACAGG
rnacentral:rRNA from 1 species